ACAUCUUUGUCUGGUUUUGGUAUCAAGGUGAUGGUGGCCUCAGCCCCCACCACGGCCCCGGCAGUCUACCCUCUGCCUCCCAGCUGUGGGGACACACCUAGUUCCACAGUGACCGUGGGCUGCCUGGUCUCGAGCUACUUCCCUGAGCCAGUGACCGUGACCUGGAACCCGGGCGCCCUAUCCAGCGGCGUGCACACUUUCCCAUCUGUCCGAGGGUCCUCGGGGCUGUACUCUCUCAGCAGCACUGUGACCGUGCCUGCCAGCACCUUGUCCGGCAAGACCUUCACCUGCAACGUAGCCCACCCGGCCAGCAGCACCAAGGUGAACAAGAGCAUCGGUGAGAGGACGGGCUGCAGGGAGGGUUGUCCCAGAUGCCCACAUAAGUCAGCCGCCCCUCAGCUCCCAGGAGGACCGUCCGUCUUCAUCUUCCACCCGAAACUCAAGGACACCCUCACAAUAUCCCGAACACCGGAAGUCUCCUGCAUGGUGGUGGACGUGAGCAAGGAGGACCCCGAUAUCCAGUUCUCGUGGUACGUGGACGCUGUAGAGGUGCACACGGCCAAGACGAAGCUAAGGGAGGAGCAGUUCAACAGCACCUACCGUGUGGUCAGCGCCCUGCCCAUCCAACACCAGGACUGGCUGAAGGGAAAGGAGUUCAAGUGCAAGGUCAACAACAAAGGCCUCCCGGCCCCCAUCGUGAGGAGCAUCUCCAAGGCCAAAGGGCAGCCCCAGGAGCCACAGGUGUACGUACUGGCCCCACCGCAGGAGGAGCUGGCCAAGACCUCGGUCAGCUUAACCUGCAUGGUCACCGCCUUCUACCCGGGCGACAUCGACGUGGAGUGGCAGAAAAACGGGCAGCCAGAGUCAGAGGGCAAGUACGGCACGACCCCACCCCAGCUGGACGCCGACGGGUCCUUCUUCCUGUACAGCAAGCUCAGGGUGGACAAGAAGAGCUGGCAGCAGGGAGACACCUACACGUGUGUAGUUUUGCACGAGGCUCUACACAAUCACAACACGCAGAAGUCCAUCUCCAAGUCUUCGGAACUGCUCCUAGAGGAGGAGGCCUGUGCUGACGCCCAGGACAGGGAGCUGGACGGGCUGUGGACAACCAUCUCCAUCUUCAUCACCCUCUUCCUGCUCAGCGUGUGCUACAGCGCCACCGUGACCCUCUUCAAGGUGAAGUGGAUCUUCUCAUCGGUGGUGGAGCUGAAGCGGACAAUCGUCCCCGACUACAGAAACAUGAUCGGCCAGGGCGCCUAG